rnacentral:miRNA from 1 species
UUCUAGACACAUCCCAUCUGAUAUACAAUAUUUUCUUAAAUUGUAUAAAGAGAAAUUAUUGUAUAUCAGAUGAGAUGUGUCUGGGAU